rnacentral:lncRNA from 1 species
GCAGAAUUCUGAUAAGAUGGAGGAAAGAAAAGCCAGAGUGAAGCAGACCAUUAGCAGAUAAUUGUCAUAAUCUUGAUACUAAAUGGAGACCAGAAUUAAGUCAAUCUAUAUCCUCCAGGAUUCUCCAGAUGAUCCUCUAGGAAGAGAAAAGGGACAUUAAAUACCUGAUCCCACACUCCUUCCUUCCUUUAUUCUUUUUUUGGUAUUCUCCAUUCAAACUAAGUUGAAGUCAGAAGGCAAAGGAUCCUUUGAUGUAGUCCAUUCAGAGCAGAAGGAGAAGAAUGCAGAGUGGAUCUGCAGGGACAAAUAGAAGAUGCAGCGCAAUGGAGAUACUGUUUAAUGCCGCAGGGGACCUGGGCUCUUUUCGUCUCUCCUAUGUAAAGAGAAUUUCCUCCAUCCAAGUAAAACUGAUGCGAUCGGUCAGCUUUCUAGACAACAGAAAUAAAUAAUUCUCUCUGUGA